UACGGAGGGUGCGAGCGUUGUCCGGAAUCACUGGGCGUAAAGGGCGCGUAGGCGGUGGCCUAAGCGUGCGGUGAAAGCCUGGGGCUCAACCCCGGGUCGGCCGGUGGAAACUGUCGGGCUAGAGUCCGGAAGAGGCGAGUGGAAUUCCCGGUGUAGCGGUGAAAUGCGCAGAUAUCGGGAGGAACACCAAUGGCGAAGGCAGCUCGCUGGGACGGUACUGACGCUGAGACGCGAAAGCGUGGGGAGCAAACAGG
rnacentral:rRNA from 1 species